AUGCAUCUGGAGGACAACGAUAGCCAAGCCCAACGCGGCGGCGCUCCAGCGCUGCACCACUCGCCCGACACGGCGAACAAGGAGCAGUCGAAGAAGGAUUGGUCGGUGCUGCCGGCUGGCGUCAAGUUCGAUCCCAUGGAUCAGGAGCUGGUCGAGCACCUUGACGCCAAAGUGAGUGUUGACAGUGCAAUAUCUCACCCUCUCAUCAAUUUGUUCAUACCAAUCAUCAACAGCGAGCACGACAUAUGCUACACCCAUCCUGAGAAACUUACAGGUAUCACACUGAAUGGCCUAAGCAAGCAUUUCUUCCAGCGCAAUUCCAGGGCGUUCAAAAGGCGCACAUGGACGCGUCGCAAGAUACAGUCGGAGUGCGGUAUGCACGCGAUGUGGCACAAGACCGGUAAUACCUAG
rnacentral:rRNA from 1 species